GUUCACCGCCACGCCGAGGUGCAUCGUUUCGCUCGCAUCAUCUGAUUGUGACGCUUUGGGGGCGGGGCCCAGACGCCGCGGGCCCCGAUGCGCAGGAAGAGCGCGGAAACAUCGCCGGCGAAGGGCCGAGCCCACCGACCCCCGAAGCCAGUGGGGCCGACGACGACAUCCGGUCGCUGGAACGGCUGUUCGGUCCACCACACUGCCAACACCCGUCACAGCCUUUUCCCUGCUACGAGUGCUACAUCGAACGAAUGAUCCCCCCUCUGUACCCUGAACUUAACUUGGGCCGGUUGCCCGCGGCACAGGAACAGCACAUCAUAUGGCAUCAGAGCGCGAGAGUAUCUGCAGCGUACAGAGCCGCGUUGGAGCGUACCCGGGAAGCUCGCCGCACCAACCUGGAAACGCAACAGCCGGAGUCCGAGUGCUAGCAUGAAUCCUGCUGCAAGAAGGAUCUUCACGGACCGGGUGGUACGAUGAAGUUCAAGAAGAAGGCCAAUGAAAAUUCUGAUUUGUGGAAACGAAGAAGAAUAAAGAAGGAAAAGUGCAA